UUAUCUCUUCAACUUCUUCCUUUGUGAGUCUCCCCAAUUUCUUCGUUCUAUUGUUGGGGUUUUGUAUCGAAGAACUCCUGCAACUGUGGUCCUGCAUUUGUUCAUUUCCAUUGUGUCGCCGCAAUUGUGUUUUUAGAUUUUGUAUCGAAGAACUGCUGGCAUUGUGGUCCUGCAUUUGUGCUUUCACAUUGUGCAACCGAUAGUUGGUUUAUGGUUUGCUAUAACUGGAAAAAGGAAGCCGUAGAUGGUUGUGAGCAUUGAUUUCCUGUACCGAUCAAAAACAGCCUUCGCUCAGUGUUGAAGGUGGGGGACGGCCAUCACAUCAGUUUGCUAAGAGGUACAAAUAUGUCCACGGAUCUCGCAUUGGUGAUUCAGUUUUAUUGGGGAGGAAAAAUAGUGGAGACCAGAGGAUCAUUUUCAUAUGAUCCGCCGAGAUGUAAAAAAGCCAUUUUAGUAAAAAAUCGAAUAAGUUAUUCCGAAUUGGUUGAUAGGGUAUACACUUACAUGGGUUUAGAUCGAACUGGGUUCAAUUUAAAUCUAUGGUUUAGAAAUUCAGUAGGUCUAAAUACUUUUGCUGGAUUACGCUUGGGGUGUGAAGAAGACAUGGAUAUGCUAUACCAUAUGAAAAUGAUGACACCACAAACGGCAUGUGAGAUAUACGUUGAGGUGGAACCACAGUUACGUCAUUACCACAGUAAUGUCGAUAGUGGACAAACCUCAAGAUGGGACCAAGGUGGUUCCCAAGUGGAGUCAAACCUUUUGUUUUAUACCACCUCAUGUUGUAGUACUAUGCUAGUACAAGCUGGGGAAGAAGUAUGUGUAGCGCAAAUUUCUCGAACUUCCUGUCUACCGAUUAUACUAGAAAGCGAGGGAGUUGAUGUAGAUCCUGACACCGAACCUGAACUUGAUGGCGAUAACUCUGAUGAUACUGAUGACAAACAGGAUGAGGCCAACCAACAAGAGUUCAAUCUUGAUGUUGGUGGGUCCGAUCCGAAUUCGUCAAGUAACUUUCAAAUGGCGCAGUGUUUACAAGAUAGCGAGGGAGUUGAUGCUACGUUGGAAUUUGAUUCCACUAACAUCAUUGGAGUUGAGAAAUUAAACGUGUGGGAUGACCGUACAAAGGAGUUAAGAUUGGGCAUGGUGCUUGAAACAAAGAAACAUGUGCAGCGAGCUGUUAAAUUGUGGUCAAUCAAACACAAUAGGGAGUACAGAGUACGAGAAAGUAAACCAAUGACCUGGUAUGUUAAAUGCAGGUCCGAAAAUGCUUUUCCAUCGUGUAAUUGGCAGCUUAGAGCAUCAUUGAGAUGUAUACACAAUAUGUGGAAAAUUGUAACUUUUGUAAAAGAGCACACAUAUAUCCGGGUGUCGAACAGCAAUGAUCACCGACAAUUGACUUCUGAACUAAUUGCGGAUCAUAUCAUACAUCAUGUUGAGAAUGGGCCACUUUAUGCCAUUACGGAAAUUCAAACAACCAUUAAGCGUGCUUUUGAUACAGAUGUCUUGUACAAAAAGGCUUGGUACGCAAGGCGUCGUGCGAUUGACAUCGUAUAUGGUGAUUGGCCCACUUCAAUAGCACAACUACCAACUUUCAUGCAAGAGUUGGUACUGGCUAAUCCGGAAACAGUUGUGGUAUGGUAGCAUCAUCCACAAAGUACUGUUGGAUAUUCAAUUUUUCACUAUGUGUUUUGGGCAUUUGGACCCGUUAUCGAGGCAUUUCGACACCUGAAACUAGUUAUUUGUGUUGAUGGCACGUUCAUGAAAGGGACAUACAAGUCAAAGUUGUUAGUAGCAGUUGGAUUUGAUGCUAGCAAUCGUCAAUUUCCGCUAGCUUUCGCACUUGUUGAUGAGGAGACCAAUCGGAGUUGGUCUUGGUUUAUGUCUCAAUUACGUCACCAUGUGUGUCGAGAAGUGGAAAAUAUAUGCGUCAUUUCAGAUCGUCACAGGGGGAUAAUGCACGCGAUGAAAACCUUGUCAGAGUGGAAGGAACCGCUUGCAGUGCAUCGAUAUUGUUUGGUCCACGUGCAAAGCAAUUUCACGCAGAAAUUUAGAAAUCAGAGACUUAAGGAUUUCGUAUGGGCUGCCGGAGCUGCAAAUCAAGCAAAGAAGUACGAAGCAUUCAUGGAACGGAUUUGGCUAUUAAAUGAAGAGGCAUACAAAUGGCUUAAUGGCGGAUCUGUUAAACCAGAACAAUGGGCACUGUGUAAGGAUGGGGGAUAUCGAUGGGGUCAUACAUCAACCAGCGUAGCGAAAUGCUUCAAUAACCUGUUGCGCAAAACUCGAUUAUUACCAAUCACAUCUUGCGUACAAUUCACUUUCAAUCAAAUUGUUGAUCUUUUCACAAAGAAACGGAAGAUGGCCUUUAAUGCGAUAUACCCUUUUCCAAAGGAGAUAUGGAGAAUGUUCGUAGCAAAUGAGUUAAAAGCAAGGACGCAUUCAGUGAAAGUGUAUGACCAUAGAAACGGAAUCUAUUGCGUAACAACGGGGCGACGCGAUAAUGGGAAAGGGGUAAGGCACAAAUUGUCCACUUUGGAAAUAGAACGUGCACGUGUGGUAAAUGGACAGAACUUCGAUUCCCAUGCUCGCACGUUAUUGCGUCAUGUUAUCGAUCGGGAACAAAUUCACACCAUCUAGUUGGUCAUGCACAUACAUUUUCAGCAUGGCAGGCUUCUUUGCAGGGCCAGUUGUUUCCUUUGAUGGACACGGCUUAUUGGGUCCCUUAGGACUUGCAUCUUAAUUAUGAUUCUGCCAGAGUCAAGCAAAAGUGACCUGGCCCUAAGGCCAUAGCCAGAAUACAUAAUCAGAUGGAUCGUCGAUGUCCGGAUGCACCUCAUCGUUGUAGCCACUGUUCACAGAUAGGACACAAUGCCUCCAAUUGCCCUUACUCUAGCCAUUUUAAUGUUUAAUUGAGGGUCGAAGUAGGUCAUUUGUAUCAUAAGUUGUGGUUCUGCAUGCUCAUUCUGUAGUAUAUUAGAACUUUUGUUGUAAUAUUAUAUGUUUGACAUCUUUAAUGAAGUGGGUCAAUUUGGAUUGUAAUAUACUUGUAUAUGUGCCUAAA